rnacentral:rRNA from 1 species
AGUCGAACGAAGCGCUUAAACGGAUUUCUUCGGAUUGAAGUUUUUGCGACUGAGUGGCGGACGGGUGAGUAACGCGUGGGUAACCUGCCUCGUACAGGGGGAUAACAGUUAGAAAUGACUGCUAAUACCGCAUAAGCGCACAGUGCUGCAUGGCACAGUGUGAAAAACUCCGGUGGUAUGAGAUGGACCCGCGCCUGAUUAGCUAGUUGGUGGGGUAACGGCCUACCAAGGCGACGAUCAGUAGCCGGCCUGAGAGGGUGAACGGUCACAUUGGGACUGAGACACGGCCCAAACUCCUACGGGAGGCAGCAGUGGGGAAUAUUGCACAAUGGGGGAAACCCUGAUGCAGCGACGCCGCGUGAGCGAAGAAGUAUUUCGGUAUGUAAAGCUCUAUCAGCAGGGAAGAAAAUGACGGUACCUGACUAAGAAGCACCGGCUAAAUACGUGCCAGCAGCCGCGGUAAUACGUAUGGUGCAAGCGUUAUCCGGAUUUACUGGGUGUAAAGGGAGCGUAGACGGUUGUGUAAGUCUGAUGUGAAAGCCCGGGGCUCAACCCCGGGACUGCAUUGGAAACUAUGUAACUAGAGUGUCGGAGAGGUAAGCGGAAUUCCUAGUGUAGCGGUGAAAUGCGUAGAUAUUAGGAGGAACACCAGUGGCGAAGGCGGCUUACUGGACGAUCACUGACGUUGAGGCUCGAAAGCGUGGGGAGCAAACAGGAUUAGAUACCCUGGUAGUCCACGCCGUAAACGAUGACUACUAGGUGUCGGGGAGCAAAGCUCUUCGGUGCC